GCGGCCAUAGCUCAGAGGAUAGAGCAGCUGCCUUCUAAGCAGCGGGUCAGGGGUUCGAGUCCCUUUGGCCGCG
rnacentral:tRNA from 1 species